rnacentral:rRNA from 1 species
UACGGAAGGGGCUAGCGUUGUUCGGAAUUACUGGGCGUAAAGCGUGCGCAGGCGGCCAUCCAAGUCAGUGGUGAAAGCCCGGAGCUCAACUCCGGAAUUGCCAUUGAAACUGUUUGGCUCGAGUACGAGAGAGGUGAGUGGAAUUCCCAGUGAUAGAGGUGAAAUUCGGUAGAUAUUGGGAAGAACACCGGUGGCGAAGGCGGCUCACUGGCUCGUAACUGACGCUCAUGCACGACAGCGUGGGGAUCAAACAGG